rnacentral:lncRNA from 1 species
CCUGAGGUUUGGGGUAUUCUCACCUUGAUAGAAUGUAUUCACGUAUUCUCAGUGACCUCCCCUCACGUUAGUAUUCUCAUUCUUAGACUGUUUGUUGACUGACAAAAUGUCUAAAAUAUCAUUGACUUAAGAAAAAUAUAUUUUUCAUGUUCAAAACAGUGCAUUGUUGGUUGAUAGCAUUACAUCUGUUUUGGCGCCAAAGGCUAUAAACACAAUAAAGUUACCAGAUCAUUAUCAUCCAUUCCCAAAAUAAUUUACAGCUGAAUUAGGGUAAAAAAAUUAAAAAUAAAUUUAGAAAUUAUAAUUGUUACUGCCAAUAUUUAUGUUUGUUGGCUAUAUAAUUAGCUAUUGCCAAGCUCAACAAACAACAAAGCCUCUGCUACUCAUAACUAAAGCUUUCUUCUUCCUUCAACAUUAUCAAAACAUCACUACCAAUAUCCUCUCAUACCUCCAUAUCAACCAUGCAUCUACAAACUCUUCAAAAAUCAUUCAAAUCUCACCACUUUCCAAUCAUUAUUCAAAGUUGGAACACCUAUGCAUGUCAAUGUAUUCUCAAAGAACACUCUUGCUGCCAAAGCUGCUGCUGCAUGAUUAAUUAUCGACUAUCUCUUUAGGCUUGAGUUAAUUGCCCUUUAUUAAUAAAAAUAUCGUAUUAGUAUGCAAUUUAUAGUGAAUAUAAGUUAUGGAAAUAUUGUAAACACAUACAUAAGUAGAUUCAAACAAUCGUGGUUCUACUCGUUAAACACUGUUAUGCUGCAAAACAUACUACGAUAUACUUGAUUUCAACAGUAGUAGCAACUUAUAUUUCUAUUCAAUCUAACAACAUUUUGCAGAAAUUUUAAUGCAAAGAGACUACGUAUAACAGAACUAAGAUUUUAUUCAUAACAGAAAUAACAAGUUAUUGCCAAUCACCAAGUCAUUGCAGUUGAUCUAUCACAAAAUUUAUAUCUUUUUUUUUUCUUGUUUUAACAUUAUGGAACCAUUACUUUAUUAUUUCAAUGUACACCAAUAUUAAGCCCUAUCAUGCAGCUUCAUUAUUGACACUUUCUAUUGAUGAAAUUACAACUGAUGAACAACCAAAUAAAACAUUUAAGUGAAUCUUAAAGACUAAACACACUGACCCAACACAAAAUGGUUGGCAACCAUCUAACACUAUAGAACACAGUUGAUGAAGAUAACCUUUCAAAUGAAUUUUGUAUUAACAUGUUGCUGCAUACAUAUAUAAUCUUACAACUUUAUGGAAAAUCACACUAAAAAUGAACAGAAUCUUGGAUUUUCUAAAACUAGAAAAUCUCAAUAAUACAAAAAAAUCUAAUGUCCUUAAAUAUUACAUUUACUCCUAAUGGUUAUAAAUUCAAUCAAGGCAUGUCAAAUACCAAAAAGCUAUCCGCGAAAAGGAUUGAAGCAUUUUCUUUUAUAGAAUACUAAUUACAAACUUCAAUUUAUUUUCAACAUGCAUUUGGGUUACUCCAUUCACUACAACUAACAUUAAUUGAUGACAAAAAUAAGAAGCAUCAGCCAUAUUCUCAAUCAAUUUUGAAGAUCCAUUUUCAUAUUUUACUCAACUCAUCAACAAAGCAAACAAAAACUAACAUGCACUAAAAGUUCUUCAUACAUACCUCAUCUGUGGCUUGGAAAAAGUAAGGUAUUAACUGGUAGCCCAUGAAACUCACUGGUCGGUACUCUCUGACCUCGCGGCCUUAAAUCGUUCAUCGCCCGUAUUGGAGUCCUCAACUUCACCGUCAUGGUCCUCAAUUUAUGGGCAAAGUGCUUGAUGAAAGUAUAAGAGAGAAAUUGAAAUAGAUUUUAAGCUUGGUUGCUUCGGCUUUGGCAGAGGAAAGAGAUGAUAACUUUUCAUUUUGUAUUAAUAUUUGUUGAGUAAAAGCAUGUUUACAAGGUAUAAAAGCAUGUUUCAAUUUAUUACCCUAUGGAUAUUAACAAAG